GUGCCACGUCAAGAUUUGUAUUCUGGACCAGAUUAAGCAGUUGCUAAGCCACUCUACUAAAUACUUGUCCAAAUCUCUCCAAACAUCACAGGAUUCUCGUCCUUCUUAAGCUAAAACUCUCGGACAUCACAGUUGGUCCUUAUCACUUCCCUGUUAAUCACAGAUGUGCAGACAAGUUUGCUACAACAAACUUCAGCUGAUCAUUCCCAUCUAACCACAGUGCCCCUGAUCGAGCCAUCACCUCUCUGGGACUAUUUCUUGGAAGGACUUUCUUCAAGACACCAAUUUGGGCGGUGUUUGCCAAUGUUCACGCGGUGAGUGCUGGAUGCCAAGGUUCACACGGUGACCACCGCGCUGGAACGCCAUGGACGCGAGUUGAGCUUCUUUUGCUCGGGCCCCUCCCCUGUUCGUCGGUUUCGAGCGCUUCACCGUGUCCAGCCGCUUCCCCGUGACCUCCUGCGUCACCCUGCGCUGCUGCCUCGUUCAACCUCGCCCUGGUUGUGUCGCUUUCGAGCUCGCCCGUGCCACUAACUCCCAUGCUCCCCCUUGUCCCGUUGCCGGAGCUCUCCCGAGCUUUCCCGAGCUCGCCCGAGACCUCCCGCGCCCCCGUGAAGCUCCUGGACAAGUCUCCCCUCCCUACCCGUGCCUAUGCUCGCGCCAGCACGAUGGCACACGCGUCACCGUGGCCGUGUCCGAGCACGGCGUCGCCGUGACUAUAUAAGCCAUCCCCGUGCCCGUGCGACCUCACCAGUGGCUUCUCCACCUCCUCUGGUCCUCCCAAGCCUCUUCCCCGAGCUCGAGAGCCCCUCCUCCUCACCAUUGCCGCCACGGCCAUCGCUGGCCAUCGGCUGAAUUCCGGCGAGCCACUCCUCCUCCCUCCGUUCUGCCACCACCAGUAGCUUCCAUCCACCCCGGCGAACCUCCCCGUCCCCUAUUAUUUUCGCCGGAGCCUCUGUUGCCGCCUGCCCGAGCACGGCCGCCGUCGUCUCCUCGGUUACCUCGAGCCGCCAUCGCCUGGACCCUCCUCGGAGUCCGCGUCCAGCCAGGACGGGUGCGGCACCCUUCCCUGAGUCCGCUGGUGGUCCGAGCUCCACCGGGGAGGGCCGGAGCUGCCCGGGAGAGCGUCGGCUCCGCAAGCCCCUCCUCUGUUUCACGGGCGCCAGACGGAGGAAGAAGACGACGACCACCCCCCUGCCCAUGGGCCCCGCUGGCAGUCUCUGGGCGUUAACCCAGCCCGACCCACGCGUUAGGUUAAGUGGAGGCGUAUUCCACCGAAGUACGUUUUCAUUUACUAAAAGCGUAUUUUGGUUAUACCGCGGCUAAGAACACGUUUUCUUCUUCGCGUAUUUCUCCCGAAGACGUUUUCUGUUUUUAGCCGCCAGGGGCCUGUUUGUGGAGGAAUAUUUACAGAUUGGUCCCUGAUCUUCCAACUCUCGUAUCUCCACAACCGUAACUCCGUUUGAGUCCCCUCUGAGAGUGAAGCGUUCCGGCGAAUCGUUCUGCGACUUCACCGCACGUCUUCCCAGAGUAUUCUUCAUACCCAGGCAAGCCACAAUAGCCAAUUGAAGAUGGAUUCGCAGUAGCCAUGGUUUCUACUUAAAUGUUUAAUAAAUGUUUGCUCAUUUCCUUCUGAUGUUGUUGUUUCGGCUAUGAUUGUGGAUCCCUGCUUAUCAUCAUGUUAUGCUAUGCUGCACUCUGUUAGCCGUAUGAUUACUUGCUAGUAAUAUUGCUCUCGUAUUUCAUGCUGGUACUUAUGUCAUGCUAGCGAUAGUGAUGUUCAUCUGAUGCAUGAUUAUCGUCAGUUAUGUAGUGUAUCUGUGGUAUGCAUGAUCAUCGCUAUGCCAUGUUCAUCCGCAACUAGUAGUCUAAGUGUUGCAUUAUUGUUGAUGCUAAUGAUUCAUAUGGUUAUUUUUCUCAUCCAUGCUUAUGUUAAUAUCAUGCUCAUGCGCAUUAUUAUUUCAUCAUGUUAUUAUGACUCAGCAUCUUUUGCAUUCGAGUUUAACCGAACAUUAAUUAAACUUGAACAUCUGUUGGCUGAGUAAUAGUGCCAUCGAAUCAAACUAACCAGUGCAGCCAUACUUGCUUUUAUGGGGGGGCCCUGAUUGGGUUUAUUGUCAUGCCUCUCACCGGUGCCUCCAACUAGGUAUGGUUAUGGGUGCGCGCUACCCUGAUCAGGUAGGCGGACAUAAGCCUUGUGUGCCCGUGUUGGUUUGAGCGCUCUUGUCCCCGUUUGGGACCGUUUUUGUUUUGCCAUGACGGUGGACGUUAGAUGUCAAGAGGUGACAUCGGGGCCACCCAUGACUUAGCCCAAAGGGGAGUUUGUCGGAGUGUCCGGAGAGUGUGAUGGCAAUAGAUCGGUUUUGUCGAAACGUCGUUGGUCCACCCGAAUGGGAGUACGAGGCCAUGGGUUCCGUGGUGUGGGUACAGUGUGCUAAGCUCUGCAGAGUGUUUAAUCUAUCAAUAGCCGCGCCCGCGGAUAUGGGCCCAGUUUGUAGUAGGUCACACUAUGGGUCAACAGAAAUAUGCUUAAUUAUAAUCCUGGUUCGAUAAGGAAAGAAGUUGGUUGAUCUUUAUGUGAUCGUGAGAGGAUCACAGUGGUAUCGUGGAUACCGAAGUUGGUUGAUGUUUGUGGUGUUAUGCGAUAAUCAUGGGUAAGGAUCAAGCACCUUGUGGUCAUGUAAUGAUUCCUAUGGUAUUGUUAAUACCAAGCUUGAUUUGAUCUUGAGGUGAUCGUGUGAUGUCCAUGAUGGUAAGUGUUAUAUGUCGUGGUUACGAGGUAACCCCAAACAGAGUAAAUGGAUCAUGUUAAGUAUGUUGCAUGCUAGUAUCAUCUUGUGCAUAUCAUGAGUUACAUUUCCAUGCUCAUUUCAUGUGAUGCCAGAUUUGUUAUGUUCAACAUGUUCAUGCAUGCUUAUAAUGUUCUAGUGGUAUCAUGUUCAUCAUCGCUUUAACCUGUAAAUGCAAUGUUGUUGUUUGUCUUGAUUGCUUUGGUUGUUGUGAGCUUGCAAGUACAUUCAAUGUAUUGACCUGGCAUGUCAUGCCAGUUUGCAGGUCAUGCCUUGUCUGCUUGCUUGUUUGUUGUGGAUCCCGAGUUUGCGAGCUAGGAUAAGCGUUCCAGCCAGAGUCCCUAUGGGGUGGAGUCCAUCGUCGUCGUCGUUGUUCCACUGCUAGAAGUUAUUCCGCUGCUACGACUUUUUUUGCUGCUAGCAUAGAGCAACCUGAGCAGGCGUAGUGUCGCUGGGUCGAUGUAAUUCUCUGUUAUAUCGGAACCCUUGUACCCAUAUCGACUAUAACAAAGAGCUGAUUUGUUCUAUGCCAA